UUUGGACAAUGGGGGCAACCCUGAUCCAGCCAUCUCGCGAGUGCGAUGCAGGCCUUCGGGCUGCAAAGCACUUUUGGCAGGGAAGAUAAGGCUCUGGCCAACACCUGGAGGUGCUGACGGUACCUGCACAAUAAUCCUCGGCUAACUUCUUGCCAGCAGCCGCGGUGAUACGUAGGGUGCAAGCGUUAAUCGGAAUUACUGGACGUAAAGCGUGCGCAGGCGGUUCGGCAAGAAGGAUGUGAAAUCCCAGGGCUUAACCUUGGAACUGCAUUCUUAACUGCCGGGCUAGAGUAUGUCAGAGGGGGGUAGAAUUCCGCGUGUAGCAGUGAAAUGCGUAGAGAUGCGGAGGAAUACCGAUGGCGAAGGCAGCCCCCUGGGAUAAUACUGACGCUCAUGCACGAAAGCGUGGGGAGCAAAC
rnacentral:rRNA from 1 species